AGCAAACGCUGGCGGCAGGCCUAACACAUGCAAGUCGAACGAACUCUUCGGAGUUAGUGGCGGACGGGUGAGUAACACGUGGGAACGUGCCUUUAGGUUCGGAAUACCUCAGGGAAACUUGUGCUAAUACCGAAUGUGCCCUUCGGGGGAAAGAUUUAUCGCCUUUCGAGCGGCCCGCGUCUGAUUAGCUAGUUGGUGAGGUAAAGGCUCACCAAGGCGACGAUCAGUAGCUGGUCUGAGAGGAUGAUCAGCCACAUUGGGACUGAGACACGGCCCAAACUCCUACGGGAGGCAGCAGUGGGGAAUCUUGCGCAAUGGGCGAAAGCCUGACGCAGCCAUGCCGCGUGAAUGAUGAAGGUCUUAGGAUUGUAAAAUUCUUUCACCGGGGACGAUAAUGACGGUACCCGGAGAAGAAGCCCCGGCUAACUUCGUG
rnacentral:rRNA from 1 species